AGUGAACGCUGGCGGUAGGCCUAACACAUGCAAGUCGAACGGCAGCACAGUAAGAGCUUGCUCUUACGGGUGGCGAGUGGCGGACGGGUGAGGAAUACAUCGGAAUCUACUUUUUCGUGGGGGAUAACGUAGGGAAACUUACGCUAAUACCGCAUACGACCUACGGGUGAAAGCAGGGGAGCUUCGGACCUUGCGCGAGUGAAUGAGGCGAUGUAGGAUUAGCUAGUUGGCGGGGUAAAGGCCCACCAAGGCGACGAUCCGUAGCUGGACUGAGAGGAUGAUCGGCGACACUGGAACUGAGACACGGUCCAGACUCCUACGAGAGGCAGCAGUGGGGAAUAUUGGACAAUGGGCGCAAGCCUGAUCCAGCCAGACCGCGUGGGUGAAGAAGGCCUUCGGGUUGUAAAGCCCUUUUGUUGGGAAAGAAAAGCAGCCGGUUAAUACCCCGCUGUUCUGACGGUACCCAAAGAAUAAGCACCGGCUAACUUCGUG
rnacentral:rRNA from 1 species